rnacentral:rRNA from 1 species
GACGAACGCUGGCGGCGUGCUUAACACAUGCAAGUCGAACGAUGAAGCCGGAGCUUGCUCUGGUGAAUUAGUGGUGAACGGGUGAGUAAUACGUGAGUAACCUGCCCUUGACUCUGGGAUAACUGCGGGAAACUGUAGCUAAUACCGGAUACGACCCUCGGAGGCAUCUCCUGGGGGUGGAAAGAAUUUCGGUCAAGGAUGGACUCGCGGCCUAUCAGCUAGUUGGUGAGGUAAAGGCUCACCAAGGCGACGACGGGUAGCCGGCCUGAGAGGGUGACCGGCCACACUGGGACUGAGACACGGCCCAGACUCCUACGGGAGGCAGCAGUGGGGAAUAUUGCACAAUGGGCGCAAGCCUGAUGCAGCAACGCCGCGUGAGGGAUGACGGCCUUCGGGUUGUAAACCUCUUUUAGCAGGGAAGAAGCGAAAGUGACGGUACCUGCAGAAAAAGCACCGGCUAACUACGUGCCAGCAGCCGCCGUAA